rnacentral:rRNA from 1 species
UACGAAGGGUGCAAGCGUUGUUCGGAAUCAUUGGGCGUAAAGCGCGCGCAGGCGGAUUGGUAAGUCAGGUGUGAAAUCCCGAAGCUCAACUUCGGAACUGCGCCUGAAACUACUAGUCUAGAAUGUCGGAGGGGGCAGGGGAAUUUCACGUGUAGGGGUAAAAUCCGUAGAGAUGUGAAGGAACACCGGAGGCGAAGGCGCCUGCCUGGACGACUAUUGACGCUGAGGCGCGAAAGCGUGGGGAGCAAACAGG